AGAUUAGUUUAUUUUUAUUUAUAGCAAUGAUCUGCAACUAAUUAAAACAAUUAUUUUUAAUACUCCAGGUAUGAAGAAAACAAUCUUCAAGUUAAUGCAAUUUAAACACACAGUGAUAUGGCCAUGACAAAAUAUGUACUUAUAAUAGACUUUAACUAGCAGUUUCAAUUUGAGUGCUGAGCCUUCAGGUCGCCAUCCUCCACCCAAAAAUUGACUAUUUCAGUAGUGACAUACAUGAUGAAAAUAAAUCUUUUUGAAAUGCUACCUGUAAUUGGUGCAUCAGGUCGAGACUGCUCUUUUCUCCACGCAGAACAGUUCUGAAUACUUUCUGCCAAGUCUUUUUCAAUCAGUCCUACAAAGUACUGAGCUAGAACGCUGCAUCGCAUCUUCUCAGCAACACAGGAUACUGCGAGUAUGUCAAACCUGUCCUCUGCUCUCUAUUCUGGUUUCCCAUAGAAUUUAGAAUCAAGUUCAAAGUCUUGGUCCUUAUCUUCAAAGUGCUGCAUGGGCUGGGCCCAGGAUAUCUAAAAGACCAUCUAAAGCUCUAGGACAAAGACCAUAGUCAACAACUACAUUCCUCUGGCACAAUGGAACUCUCAAUAUGAAGAAUAAAGCUUGUCUGUGUGGGAGCGAACUUUUUUUGGGGACAGUCUGAGACUGUUGAAUGAACUCUUCCAAGAAUUAAGGGCUGUCACAAACCUUACCACUUUCUGCUCCAAGUGCAAGGUCCAUUUCUUUAACCUUGCCUUUUCUAACACAAAGCAACAGGUAGUAGUUGGGUUUUUUUUUAAAUAGAUAUAACAAAACAAAACACCCCACGGCACACACUUCUCCCCGGGGAGAGGAUUAAAGAACACACACAUGACAGAUGCCUAGUCACACUGCUUAAUGCACUACUGGAAGGUGCACAGAUUCUAUGGUGAUUAGCACAGUAAAAGAACCUAAACAGAAUAGCCAGGCAGAAAAAUGCAUAUACUUCCUUUAGAGAAUCUCUACAAAUCAAUCCCUCUCUCACUUUCUUUCCCUCUUCCCCACUCUAUGCAGCUUGAAGGGGGCACUAUUAUAUGUAUUCCGGUACCUCUCACAAUGUGCAAAGUGCUGUUAGAAAAAACAGGAAGAUACACUCCCUGUCCCAAAGACCUUACAAUCUAAGGGCUUAAUUCUCAAAAUACUCAAGCACAUAAAUAACUUCACUACAUACUGACUCCAGUUUAGUAACUUGAAAUGUAGACAUGAAAUGUUGUUUUCUCCUACAGUACUGUACUUGUUUUGGGUGGGAAAGUCACACUGACUUUCACUGGGACUUGUGCUUUUAAGUCACAUAGGCACUUUUUAAAUCCCUACUCUUUAUUCCUAAUUCUCAUAGGCUGUAGUCAAUAAAUAAAUAAAAUAAAAAAAUGAUGGGUUCAGGGGACUGAAAGUGCAAUAGGGAGCCUUUCACUUUUAGAUUUUUUUUUAAUACAAACCAUUACUUAGUUUGCCAUGCCUGUUCAAUUGCCUGCAAGAGGUGAGUUUAUGGUACUUAUCCAGUUCCUAGUGACUACAUCACAUCACAAAAGAUAUCAUCACAACUGGCUUCCUUGUUGGCAAUCUGUUCAGAUUCUCCAAGGAAUGAAAGGGCCAAGGAAACUGAUGUACCCUCUUAUCUCAAGAAUAUAUUUCCUUUCUCAACACAAAGUCAGGGCUAGGAUACAUUGACAGAAUGGUCAGAGAGAAGCUUGCACUGCUACCGCCCAUGCUGCAGCUCUCCAGUAUUUUUUACAAAUACUAAAUUCACUUUAAAGGAAGAACAAAAUCUAAUAAAAUAAUUAAAAAUGAAAGGGGGGAAAUCCUUUGCGUUUUAUUUGAGGCAAGUGUUAUAUAGUGUAUAUCUUUCUCUGUGGCCAUCUUUCAUCAAUUUAAAAUGGUUUUGGAAAGGCUGUUUCUAAAAAUAUGGAUAGGUUAUCCUCAAUACUCUAUUUCCAUACACAAUACUUGUCCUUUUCUUACAAUACAAUACUAGCUGUCAUCUAUGGCCCCCAACUAAAACCUCUCCAGCGCAUCAUCAAGGAUCUACAACCUAUCCUGAAGGAAGAGCCCUUACUCUCACACACCUUGGGAGACAGGCCAGUCCUCACUUAUAGACAGCCCCCCAA